CCCGCCCCGCGCGGCGGGCGGGGCGGGGGCACGGGGGGAACGCGAAGAACCUUACCUACUCUUGACAUCCAGAGAACUUAGCAGAGAUGGAUUGGUGCCUUCGGGAACUCUGAGACAGGUGCUGCAUGGCUGUCGUCAGCUCGUGUUGUGAAAUGUUGGGUUAAGUCCCGCAACGAGCGCAACCCUUAUCCUUUGUUGCCAGCGGUUCGGCCGGGAACUCAAAGGAGACUGCCAGUGAUAAACUGGAGGAAGGUGGGGAUGACGUCAAGUCAUCAUGGCCCUUACGAGUAGGGCUACACACGUGCUACAAUGGCGCAUACAAAGAGAAGCGACCUCGCGAGAGCAAGCGGACCUCAUAAAGUGCGUCGUAGUCCGGAUUGGAGUCUGCAACUCGACUCCAUGAAGUCGGAAUCGCUAGUAAUCGUAGAUCAGAAUGCUACGGUGAAUACGUUCCCGGGUCUUGUACACACCGA
rnacentral:rRNA from 1 species